GCAUCCUUCGGAAAGAGCUUAGGCUGCCAGGCCUUUUACAACAAAACCCUCUUUUCCUUGGGAAUUCUCGGAUGUGGCAGGGAGCAGAUGUGUUCACAGAGUUUCUCAACACAAGCACAGGCAGAGUGUGCUGCAUAGAAAUUAGAUGAAUGAAGCACUGGAUAGAGUACAAAGCAGCCUCUGAGGAUUUUAUAGCUCAUAAUUGAAUUGAGAAGACCAGAGUUACAUAGAUGGAAAAGAGAACAGACUACUGGAUGCUAUGUCCAAGG
rnacentral:lncRNA from 1 species